UACAAACAGGUGUAGACAUUGUGUGUUUGU
rnacentral:piRNA from 1 species